UUCCAACAUCUCAGACGACUCAGACGAUUUACUGGGGCUAUAUUCGUAAAAAUGGCUUCUAUUUUUUUGUUUCGUCACAAGGGGCUGAGCUGUAAUUUCACUAGGCUUUUAGGUUAGUUUUGCAUUUGAUUCAAGUUUGGGUAUAGGUUUGGGAUUAAAAUCAAGUUGUAGGUUAGUUUUGGCAAAAACCCCUAAAUAAUAUUAGUAUCAACUAAAUAAUAUUAGUAGCAACUAAAUUCAGUAUUUUAUUUUUAUCAAAUCCAAAUAGUAAAUUAUAUUUUAAUAUUAGACUUCACAUAUUUAUAUUAAAUAAUUAUUUACUAUUUUAAAUCUUUUAUUUUAAUAUUAAAAUAUGUUCUAAAAUUUAUUAUCAUAUAUUCUAUAUAUGUAAUUAUUUAUUUUAUAAUUUAUAAACCAAUUAAUAAAUGUAUUAAUUUAUUGUAUAUUUACUAAUUGGUGCAGUAAUCUAAUUAUGAAUAUGAAUAUGAAUUAUGUAUAUAUAAAUUUUAUAGAAAUGUUAUUUCUUAUUCUAUAAAAAGGAAUUUAUAUUCAUUUAUAACAAUAGUUAAUACUAAAUACGAAUUUUACUAUUAAAAAUAAAUAAAUAUUUUCAUUGUAAAUAAAAAUAUAUUGUUAAAAUUUAAUUUUAGAAAAAGAUACUUAAGAAUAUUUUUUUAGAUUUUAUUUUUGAAAAUAUUUAAAUAAUGUGUUAGGCUAGUAAAUAUAUAUUUUAUAUUUAAAAAAUAGUAGGAAGUUAAAUAAAUGUAAUGGUAAAAAUAUAAUUUUUUGUAAGUAGAUAUUUUAGUGAUUCUUUUUUAAUCUUUUCAAAAUUAAAACAUCAAAUCCUUGACUCAAUAAAAUUAAUCAUUAAGGAUUUUCUUCUUAGGAAUAUCCUCAUAAAUUAUGCAAAUCGUUUAUAAAUGAAACCUAUAUAUAUAUAUAUAUAUAUAUAUAUAUAUAUAUAUCUAAAAGAAUAAAUGAAUUGGGGAAAUAGUAAAUAAACUAAAAUUUAGUUAGAGUGAUAAGUUCUAAAAAGGGUUAGUCAAAAAAAUAAUAUAAUAAAUAUAGGUGAAAUCGAUUUUGGAUUGGUGAAAAACAAAAUAUACUGAAGGUGAAUUUGAAUUUUGUAAAUUAAAUAUAGCGUUUGGGGUUAUGUUUUAGGGUUUAUAGUUAUGAUUUUAUGCCUUAAAGAUAUAAAUUUAAAUUUUGAUAAACUUUUUUUUUUACAACAUAAAUGAAACAGUAAACCUUUCUUGAAUAUUUAAGCAAGUUACAAAACUACAUUUAUGUAAUACUAUAGCUGUACACUAAUGUAUGUUAGUGUUUGUAGUAACAAAAUGGUCUAUAAAAACUACAAUGUUUAUUCACAUUUUCAAUAUAUAAGAAACUAUUUCAUAUUCUUAAUGAAGAUUAUAGUAUGGAGGAGAAAAAAUAUAUGUAAAUGAGGUUAUAAAUUCUUUAUAUAUUAAAACACAAGUCACAUAACCAACAAAUUUCUGACACAUUACACUUAUUUACAAUUUAAAAAUGAUCCAAAAUGCAAAAAAAUUUAAAAAGAAGAACAGUCUAGUGUGUUAACUAAUUUCUAUAUAUUAAUUUUAAUAUAAAAACUCCUAAUAUUUUCCCACUACGCCCAUCAUCUCGCUAUAUUUGUAACCUUCUUUUUUGCUUUGCUAAUCUUACCCUUCCCCUCUAAUGGGGGCCAGGCGGCAGCGGGUGUGGAAGAAAAAUUUUUGUAGGGGAAUUAUCUUAAAUAGCCUUUUUAACGAGAAAACCAUGCAACUUGAUAUCAACAAUGCGUUUCUCCAGGGCAUUCUCACUAAUGAAGUUUAUGUUUCUCAACCUCGUGGUUUCGUGGUUCUAGAUAGUUUUUCAUCAUGUGUGCAGACUCAAGAAAGCUGUGUAUGGUCUGAAACAAGCUCCAAGAGCUUGCUUGGUACCAAGAACUUAAGACGUAUCUAACGCAGAUGGGUGUGUUCACAAUUCUCUAGAUGACACCUCAGUUUUUAUCUACAUUCACGGAUAUCAUAUCUUGUACAUCUUAGUGUAUGCUGACGAUAUUAUACUCACCAGGAGUAAGACUACUUUGCUUGAUGGUUUUAUACGAGUUCUUUUUGCAAGGUUCUCUCUAAAAGGCCCCACUAAUCUGUUGAGGUCAAAAACAGUAAUCUGAAAAUAAACGUCCAAGAUUGCAUCUCUUAAAGAAUUUUUUUUGAAAUAAUUACAGAAAAUUCUUAAGUAGAAAACUCUAGAGUAACAAAAACGAGCGCAUUAGCAUGCGGCCAACCUCGCAGUUGGAUCGACCUCGUACCUCUCGCCAUUAGGCGAGUUGGAUCAACCUAAUCCAAUUCGCCUGAUGGCGAGUUUGAUCAGUCCCAAUUAACUAGCUCUUAGCUCUUCCUUCGGUCUUGAUUGAACUGUCCCUUGUUUUGUCUCGAUUGGAGUUCUAUUGAAACUUUACGAUAAAACUAUCGAAGACUGGUUUUUUCGUAUAAAUUUGAAUCAAUCGUAUAAAACGAUAACGGUGAUCAAUCUGUUUAUUUCCUUAUUAAAGAUAGCAAGAGGAACAAUGGAAAUGUUAUUGUGGAGAUGGAAAUGUCAUUGUGGAGCAUGUUGUUAUGUUGCUUCCAAAUGCAAUAAAAUACAGCCUGAGAAGCUAAUAGACGGGGCAGUCUUUUUCCUCUCGGCUAUGCUUCCAUUAGCCAACUUAUCAGGUCCGACCAUCGAAAGAAUGAUGAUUAUAUAUGUGUGGUGGUUAUUUGAUUUUUGAUUUGGUCUCGAUUUUGUUUAUUUUAGAUUUCGUUUGUUUUUGCUUACGAAUAAAACUCGGUUCAAGUCUUUUAAAUUUUAGUUCGAUUCACAUAAAAAUAUUGUAUAUUGGUUAAAUAUCUACUUGGAUAAAAUAUGAAGUAAAUUUGGAUUGUUUGAAUUAUACCAUUCAGAUGAGAUAUCUGGAUUAUUAUUAUUAUUUUUAAAGUAAAUCAAUUUAUAUUAUAUUCGAUAUUUACGAACAAAAAUAUAAUUAAUAGUUUAAGGUUUGCAUAUUUUAUACUGUAAAAGCCCAAUGAUCAUGAGCUAUAUAUAAGAAAGAUUGAUACACGAAUCCGUCGCUUGAUAUUAGGGUUGGUCUCCAGAUCUGGGAUUAAUUUGCGAGGUUUGAAGAGCGAUGCCGUGGAUGGGGAUGUCUCAGUUUUACGCAGGUGUAUAUGAGGUGGUUGAUGAUCCAUCGCUGGAUUCAAUAAUCUCAUGGAGCAAAAGCAACAAGAGUUUCGUCAUCUGGGAUCCGAAAGAACUAGUCGAAAAGAUUCUUUCGAGAUUCUUCCGCAACAAGUUGUCACAGUUUAUCAGCGAUCUUGAAUCCCAUGGAUUUGUAAGAAUUGAGGGGGCUGAGCACUUGGAAUUCGGACAUGAGCAAUACUUUGUGAGAGGUAAACCGGAGCUUAUGAUUAAGUUGCGUCGCAAAGUUGCCUCGGCUAGGGUUAAGAAAGAUAUCAAGGCAGCCAAAGAGGCAGAGAAGAACGGCUCUGUGGGAGAUCAACCUCCUAUUAGGAAGAUGAGUCUCAAAGAUGCACUUAUCAGGUUCGACCAAAUUAUGAGACCAUCAAAGAAAUCAUCAAAGAAAGCUAAAGCUAAAACGCCACUGGAGACAAUCGACGAGUGAUGCUAUUAAAGUAGACUUUGUCAUCAAUUGCUCUCUGUACUUCGGUUGUGAUAAGAGUACGCGAUAGUAACCGAUAGAUGUAGCUUCAAUUGUUUAGUCUUAGAAUGCCCAAGAGAACCUACGAAACCUGUUUCCGUUGAGACCAUAUCUCGUCCGACCGUAUCAAUGUCCGAGCCGGUCUUGAGUAGUGGUUUGGAGAGUAAUUGUUUGGACUUUGGAGAUGCAAACAAAAACAAGGCUCUGACUAGCAUAUAGAAAUUUCAAACACAAAUUUAACAUCGUGAUUCAUUACCUAGAAUGCAAGUGGUUGCUGCUACUUCAUUACAUAACUAAAGAGGGAACAAACUAGAGAAUGUACAAACUUUAACAACCAAGUCAAUUCUCAAACAACUUUAGAAUCGGAAUUGAAUAUCAAGUUUUCUAACAACAAAACAAGAAUCUCUGCAAAAACAAAUUCCACAUUAAUAAAUUUAUAGCUACAGUCAAAUCACCUACCUCAUAAAUUUUACAACUAAAUUUCUAAAGCUACACGGUCCAAUCAGUCAUACACAUAGUUUUUGGAGCUUUUUGAAAGAGCAUGUAGCUUUUUGUUAAAAUUGAUAUAAUAUAUAUAAACAUUGAUUAAAUAUAUAUGCUUUCUAAAGUAAAUGUAUUAUUAUUCUAUAAUUUUUUUGUAUUAUUUAUAAAUAUCUUUGUUAUUAUUUUAUUUUUUUUGAUUAAAUACCAAAUUUAUUGAUCAAAGGUGGAAAAAGAAUUUACAUAAGAUGAUCUAUUGUUCUAAUCUGUAAAGAAUAAAAGAAUGAUAUGUUCUAAUAUGUGUACAUAGUAAACCAUUUCACUAGUAGCCCCCUCAGCUUAUGGUUUCCCAUAUACUUCAAUGAUGAGAUGCGCUUCUUGACUAUAUUCCCAAUGGCCUUAGUAGUUGUAUCGACAGGUGCGCACACACCUCCAUGCCGUCUUGAGUUCCUCUCCUUCCACAGCACAUAAAUGGCUGUCUGGAACACUAAGCGGAGGAGUAUAGCAUCGAGUCUGUUCCUGUUCUGGCGUAACAGGGAGGUGACUGUAUCUUCCCAGUCCGGGGUUAUCUCUGGACCAAGUAAUUUCUCUGCAACAUUCAUCCAUACUGUGAAGGUAUAUGGGCAAGCGAAAAAUAAAUGAUCUCUGCUUUCAUCCUUCUCUCUGCAGUAGACACAACAUUGCUCCAUUCCCCAUUCUUUCAUUCUAGUGCCUGUUGAUAAUCUGUCCUUGAAAGCUAACCAUACCAUGAAGGAUUGUCGGGGUAUAGCCUGAGGGAACCACACAAUACUAUGCCAGGGAAGCUUUGUCUUUUUAAUUCGCAGGUAGUUCCAAGUCUUGGUAGCUGAGAAGUAUGGUUCGAAAUCAUCCUGGUCAUGUCUCCAUAGAGCUAUAUCUGGUCCUGCAGUAUCUACUGGCUGUGGAGUCUCUGCAAGCGUAUCACACAGGUGGGGGUAUCGUCUCUGUCCACAUCUCCGAAUGUUCCAGCUGUCGUCGCGGUUGCUUCAGCGAGCGUUGCGGAUUUGCUCACUCCAAGGUAGCUUAUGCCCAGUUCUCCUGUUAUAUCAAUCAAUCUGCCCAUUUCUAACCAGUUAUCGAACCAAAAAUGCACUGUUACACCAUUUCUAACCUCGAACCGUAUGCAUUCGUAUGCAAUAGGUCUAAGUUUGAGCUCAAUCAAUCUUUGUUAUUUUUAUCUUAAGUAAAAUAUGAUUUUUAUCAAAUAUGAUUUUUUUGUCAACAUAUAAUAAUUCUUAAUAUAUUUUAAUGGUAAAGAAUAUUUUUUUGCAUAUUUUAAUAUUUAUCUUAUUUUUUGUUGUAUUAUUUAAAAUAAAUCAUCACUUAUUUUUGUAAAACUAAUAAACACACGUAACAAAUAAAGAAAAUACACCAAGUAUAAAAUUUAAAAUUAAAAUCUAAAAACCAAACUGUGAAAGUCAAACAAAAAAAUGUGAGAAUUAAAACUGAAAUCUAAAAUUAAAAAGACUAAAAACCAAAAACCAAACCUAAAAACAACUAAACCUAAAAACUACUAAAAUAAUCAAGAGAUGUCUAUUCACCAUAUGUGGAAGCGGUUUUCACACAACUUCUCUUACAAACAACAUCGGCAAAUUUUCAGGUUGAUACGGUGGCAUAUCAUCUCUAUGUCCUUAAACAAUUGUUUCCAAAUGAAAUCAAUGUUCUCUCUUAUUAUCCAUCCACACAGAUAUACAUAACAUCCUCAUGGCUGUUACUGUACUCUAUGAAGUUAAAAAAAUACUUAUUAUAAUUAGUAUGAUCUUAAAGUUGUCACACAACAAUAUAAAAAAGAAAAUAAAAUCAAUGCUGAUUUUUUCAAAAAAAAAACAAUAUGAAAAAGAAGAAAAUGAACAAUAUUUGAAUUUCACAAUUACAAGAAAGAAAAGUGGAAGAGCAUUUGACUUUCAUGACAAGACCAGUGCAUACACUUAUAUUAACUUUGAGAAUAUACAGAGAGUAGAAAAAUAAUAUUUCAUCCGUUUUAAAAUGUUACAUAUUUUAGAUUUUUCAAAUAUUUUAAUACUACACAUUAAAUAAGCAUAUUUUUCGGUGAUCUUUUUUCAUAAUUUUAAGCCAAUAAAAAUCUAAUAAAUACAGUUAAAGUUUUUUAUAAUUUGUAAUUAGUUAAUAAAACAUGCAUUAAAAAUGUAAAAAAUAGAUCUUUUUGAAACAAAUUUUUUUUUUCUAGCAUAUGUAAUUUUAUGAAAUGGAAGGAGUAGUUGUUUACUAGAUCCUAAGUUCCAUCAACAUUUGAUAGUAGAACAUAUUUUCAAUUAAUUAAUAGAAGUAUCAUACAGUUUUGAACAUUGUAAACACAGUAGGAUUGCACAAGUCCACAUCUCUACAAUUUAUAAAAUCAGCAAGGGCAAUCAUAUAGCUAUAACAAAACACAAAAGAUGCAUGAUGCCACAAGUUAGGGCAUUUUAACUUGGACCUGAAAACCCGAACCGAAACCGACCCAAAAAUAUCCGAUCUAAAACCGAACCGAAUAUUUACAAGUACCUUUUGCGUCUAAAUUUAUUUUACCCGGAAGAAACCGACCCGAAUAGACCCGGACCCGGAAAGAACCGACCCAAAUAGAUCCGACCCGAUAAGAACCAAUUUGUACCGACUUAAAAACAUGUAUAUCCAAAACAAUAAUUUUUUGUGUUCUAUUUUAUAUAUAUUAUUUAUGAUUUAGUUGAAAUAUCUUUUGUUAACAAUAUUUGUUAUUAUUUUGUAACAUUUUUAAGUAAUAAGAAGCUUUAAAAUGUAAUUUAGAGUUUAAAAUUUUUUAUUUUAAUUACUAAUAGUUUCAAUUAAGUUAUUUUGUAAAAUUUUAGAUAUAUAUGACAAAUAUCGACUAAAUUUGAUGGAGUUGGGUAUGCCAUGAUGUCCUUUUUAAUUAUAUCCUAAAUACUCGAACCCGACCCGGACCUGAUAUGGACCCAAAAUAUUACGGGUAUUUUAUGGGUAUUUUAAUUAUAGAUUCAAACCGACCCAUAUCCGAGAAAAACGGACCCAAACCAAAAAUUUUCUAUGUACCUAUUGGAUCCAAAUGUUUAAAACCCGAAGGACCCGGACUCGAAAGAAACUGGUCCGAACCCGAUCUGAAGACCCGAACGCCCAAGCCUACCACAAGUUGCUAAAAAUAUUUUCAAACUAGUGGUUUUGCCCGUCCUAUGGGCGGGAUAUUGUUUCAAUUAUUUAUAUGUUGUAUUUUAUUGUAUUUUUAAUGUAACUAAAUUUUCUUGUGUUAAAAACUAUAUCAAGUGGGUCUAUAAUAUUUAGUUUUUCCAUUAUAAUAUGGGAGUUUUUUUUUUGCAACUUCUAAGUUGUGUGUUUUGUGUGCUUAUGGGUAAUUGUUAUUUUCAGUGAAGAGUUUUUUUAGCAACUUCUAAGUUGUGUUUAGAAAGAGUAUCAGAUAUGUGAAGGUUUUCUUUCUUUCAGAUGUUUUUGUCUAAAUCUACAUCAUACAUAUAUAGCAUGUUUUCUAUUAGUUUUCUCGGUCUCAAAAUGUCUUUGGUUAGCUUGUAUUGUUGGGACAACAAAAAAUAACUAAAUCAUUUUAUGACUUUGGUUAGCUUGUAUUGUUGUUAUCUCAUUCUUUCUGUUUCAUCCGGAAGUUUUCUAGCUCUAAUAAAUUCAUGCAAAAUAUGAAACUCAAAUUUGAUCAAGCUAUUUAUGAUAUGCGUGCAACUUGUAAUAUUUUUAAGAAUCACUUUCUAACAUAGAUGUUUUAAAUAUUUUAGUUCCUAAAAAACUUAUAAAUGAUUCUAGAGGUAAUAAUAAAAUGGUUGUUUAUAUUAGAAACAAUUCAUUAAGAAUAAGGACUCAUAACAGUAGCUAAAACAUUAGUUUAAAUCGUUUUGUAAAUCUAAGAUGUCUUAUACUUUUUUUUGUCACAUGUGCAUGCUUGAUUAGAUAUAGUGUAUGUUUGUGGGCAGAGAGAUAUUUCUCACAUGAACAUGACUGAUUUCGGUGACCUUAUUUACCACAUGAAAAUCAUUGACACAUUGAAGAGACCACCACUGAAAAUAUGUGCUACAUAAAACUUGCAUUUUAAAUACCUGAUCUUCUGGACGUUGAUCAUUUGGGAAAUGGAUGACUUGGAGCUCGAGUUCUCAACAGUUGUGUGGUGACAUGAAUUCUGGACGAUCACAAUUUUGCCUUUCCCCACUGAUGUUUGCUUGACCUUAAAUUAUGUCCAUGGAGCUUAUAUUGAUAGUAUAGCAUAUGAUUGUUACUGAGAAGCAGCAAAAUCGUCUAUGUCGCGUUGAAGAAUGAUUUAUGUUUUCCUUCUUCUUCUUUCUCUAGUCUUACAUCAUAUAGAAUUUAAAUAUGGUUUAGAUAUAAUAUUAAAUAUUAAUGAAAUAUAUUGAAGUGUUAACAAAAUAUAGAGAUAAUUAUAUUGUGAAUAUAAAGCAAACAACAAUUGUUUGUUUGUACUAAUAUAAAGUGUAUAUAUACAUAAAUUAUUAUGAUUUAUAGAAGACCAUAUAUUUACAUAAGAUUUUCUAAAAGAAUAUUAUUUUAUUAUUUUAUCAAUUUACGUCUUUGAACUGGUCCAAUUUGGGACCGAAACUUUAUAUUAAUUUAUCGAGUAUUAAUUUACAGAAUUCCUAUCGUAUUAAAAGAGAAUUUUGACUAACUUCUGCAGCCUUAACCUCUGAAGCCUUCUAGAAGCUGGAAAUUGGUCAUUUGUCAGAGCCGGUGUUUCAGGGAAAGAUUAGAACCUAAAGAAAAUGUCGAAACGGAAAUAUUAUGGUGUAAAAUCUCUUUAGCUCUAUAUUUAUACUGGAUGUAUUGUCGAAGGCGGUGAAGCUGGAUACAGUAGAUAUAAGAGGUAUUUUUAAAUGUGAUAGUUUAGCCUUAUAAUAGAUAUUUAUAAACAUAGAUGAUUGAGGUGUAAUAUUUAGAAAUAAUUGGACAAAACUAAAAAUGAGAUAUGUUGGUGACAAAAAAAAAAAAAUUAAAUUAAAAAUGGUUAAUAGGAUAUAGCUUGUGGAAGACUUAAUUACAUCUCUUAAUCUCACCUAUUGGACACCUAUCAUGUAGUAACAAAUAUCUCACUUUUUUAACAUGCAUAUUCCUUUAGAAAAAGGUUUCCUUGAAAUUAUUGAUUUUCUUAUUCUUUUAUUUUAUUAAUUGACUGUGUCCGUUCUGGUAUUUAACUUUUGUUUGUAAUAUAUACGAUAACUAAAGAAACAUUAUUUGUUUGUUUUCUAAAAAAGACAUUAUUUGUUUGUAUAUGUUACUAAUAUUGACGUUAAAAGUUUUUGAUAAUAUAACAGAAAAUCAGAAAGGGUAACAUGGAACGUGAGUGCAUAGUUGUAUGUGUCUUUUAACUUUAUUGUUUAUUUCCUUUGCUUAUCAAUAUAUUUCUUGAACUUCCACAUCCAGUCUAAUGGCCGAUCUAAAAUUCCUGAUUUCCCGUUCAAUUUUUUUACUUCCACACCCUUUGCUCAAAAAUAGAGAGAGCCUGUCAACUUUUCUAAAUAUCUAUUUGUAACAACUCUUUCCUUCUUAUCUAUCUUCUCUUUCUCUUCAAGCAUCACCAUCUUAGUCUGUGUACAUAGAAAUACAUCAGCUUAUAAACUUUAAGAAUCAACUCCCAGAUUGGUCUGCCAGCAAGAACUUGUGUACCUUUAAUGGCGUCACGUGCAGAUAUGGCAUGGUUUCUUUGGAUGAUCUAUACUCCAAGCCUCUCAAUGUCAGAUUUAAUGAUAGAUGAUCUUCAAAGAGAAAUUAUGGAAUGUUUUGUUGGGAGAGAUGAUUAUCAUGUCCUUUCUCCGUCCGUAAUUAUACUCCUAAAGUUUCAUACGUUACCAUGAAAUGGUGUAUGAAAAAUCAGUGCGAGGUAGUGGAGAGACUGGUUUAAUGAUUAUUAUUGCGAUCAUUACAACUAUUGAAAGUAAAAAAAAGGCGUUACUCACCGUCGAUUGUCGAAAGAACAAAAAAAAUGAAGCGGCGGUGUGUCCUUUCCGGCUUGAGUGCAGAGGUAAAGAAUGAAGAGGGCUUAAAAAUCUGUGGAUGGGCUUUGUGUAAUAAAAUGUCCAUGAAUGACUCAACAGAUCGCCAAGAUAAAAAAAACUCGAGAAGACAUGGCCGGCGUGAGAUGAAGAACAAAGGAGGAACAACAGUGAUUGCUUGGUGUCGGGAAUAGAGAAAAUUCUAAACAAAAACGGAUCAGAUGAGUUACAUUUUGUAAAGGCCCAUAAACACACAAAUAAGAAAGAGUGAUGACUGAUGAGAGCCCAAAUAGAAAGGGUGAAGAGAACGUUGAAUUCACAUAGUAUGAGAGACACGUUUUCAAUUUUAAACAUACAGAUAACAUCAUUGGAAGUGACAAAAUGCAAUUUUAUUGUAAUCUAUAUAAUAUAAUGAGGCAGUUCCCUCUUUCCUGAGGAAACCCGGGUUAUUGAGAUAUAAACACCAACAUUUAUACCACUAAACUAAAUGAUAUUUUGUACAUUGAUGGCCGAAACUAAUAUAUAUUUAUGAAGGCCAGAAACCUUUGCUUCUUCGGUUUUCUCUGUGGGUCGGGCCUACAAGUGUAUUCUGAGUUUCAUUUUUAAAUGAGGUUCAUCACGUUAUAUGAAAAAAACAACAAUUAUAGUUUUUCCGUAUUGUAAACUGUCUUCGUUUAACAUGAGUUAGGGUUUUUUUCAUCAUUAUCUUAGACAAGUCUGAGUUACAGAGUUGCGUUGUGUGUCUGUUCGUAAUCUAUUUUUUCACCGGUGAAUUCUUCAUCUCCCCAUCUUAAAUCACUUGAUCUUAAAUGUUCCUGAUUUGUAGCAUUUAUGUAAACCCUAUAUAUAGGAUUUUUAUCUUUGAUGAACACAAUCUGCAUCUCUUCUAGAAAAUGUCUCUCUGCAUCUCCAGUUCCUCAAACCGGCAUUCCCGGCAUCCGUUACUCAACCUUUGAGUCUCUCCGUGUUGGUCGUAGUAGUCAGAGCAUAGUCUCUAACCUCUUCGCUUAUGGGAUUCGCUGAACUUCAACAAAGACAGUGAGUUUAUGGGAAUCACGGUUCUCUUCCUUGAUGAAAAAGUAAGUUAAUCUUCAAUUUAGCACACUUAUUUUAUAUAAUUGUUUUUAAUUGAUUUCCUGAUUCUUUGUUAAAUAAUAUUAUUUGCAGAUUUAGUGAUUCAUGGGUUUAUUCCCGCCGGACGUGCUAAUCAUUACAUGCCAUCUUUGAAAGCCGGUUUCAUUGUGAAAGUCGAUCGUUUUGAGGUUGCUAGGUGCUCAAGCAUGUACAAGAUAAUUGAUCAUCCAUUCAUCAUUCGUUUCAUCUCACCAACUAUUAUUUAUGAAGUUAAUACAGGUGCUCCUAAGAUCAAUCUCCAAUCAUAAUUAGACUGUUUGACAAUUUCCAAGUGAUUGCAAACACAAACCUAGAACUCCCAAGUAUAUUAUCAUAUUGCAUAUCGGUUUAUAAUAUGUUUUGUUAUCAUAACUGAUAUUUAAACUCGCAGAUGUGGUUGGAUAAAUCCAAUCUGUCCAAGACUCUGACUUUAGCAAAGAAACAACUCGAGUCGUUAUCCGUCUCAUUAUUGAUCCGUAAGAAACAAUCAACACACAAUUACCUUUAUAUUAUUAUCUAUAUUGUGCUAACAUCAAUAAUCAAAAAUAUUUCCUACUCAAAUUAUGUGGUCGUCUAUUUAUUUCCCUUACUUAGCAAACUAAUUUUACACAAAUUUUUAUUUUACAGCUUAAAAGAAACCACAACAACUCAUACAAUCAAAACACCAAAAACUAGAAUUCUAAAAAAGGCGAAUCAUUAAUGGUAACAUCUCUUUUUUUUUUGUCUAAUCUCAGAAAUAAACUUCAAAACAAAUAUACCAAACCAAUCACCUCAACUAAAACUCAACGACAAAUACAUCAAGUCAGCUAAACAAAUACAAAAUACACGGCCAGCUAUUUAACAAUUUACAAACAUACUUUCACAAUGACACAUAUAUCGAGUCAGCUAAACAAAUACAAACUACACGGCCAGCUAUUUAACAAUUUACAAACUUACUUUCGCAACGAAGAAGACGAAAACGACAACCAUGAUCAGUGAAAUUACCUAAACAAAAAAAGCAGAGUAAGUUAUGAACUCUGAUAAAUACAAUUAACAAUGAUUUUUGUUUACAUAUUAUCCAUCAAAUAAAAGAUAAACAAACCCAGCCACAACAUGAGAUACAAGAGACAAUCCCGACAAACACAAAGACGGCAACAACAGCUCCACCUGCUCACUCCUCUUGUCUUAUAAAAAUAGCUUACAUGCCCAAUGCAACAGACCAAUGCUAUUGUCUUCUUAUGAGAAAUACAUAAAUUCGUUUAAAACUCAUUAAAGCCCAAAUACUCAAAACUAUCACUCAUUUUAUAGUUAUUUCUACAAGUCUUCAUUUAUUUGUUUUAGAGGUCCGGUAAGAGCAACAAAUUUAAAAAUAAAAUAAAAACAUAUAACAAACAUAAUAAGGAUAAUAAAAAUUAUUACUUAAUACGCACAACUUACACAACUAAGCUGGAGAAAAAAUAUCCAGAAACAAAAGGUACUUUCAACAACUUUAAUAUAAUUUAUGUACUCUCAACAGUACAAAAACAAA